GGGCCCGUAGCUUAGUGGUAGAGCAUCCGGUUUGCAUCCGGAAAAUAGGGGUUCGAUUCCCCUCGGGUCCA
rnacentral:tRNA from 7 species